AAUGGCCUCGGGGCGCAGCAGUGAGGAAUAUUGGUCAAUGGGCGGGAGCCUGAACCAGCCAAGUCGCGUGAGGGAAGACGGUCCUAUGGAUUGUAAACCUCUUUAGGCAGGGAGCAAUGCCGGGCACGCGUGUCCGGAGGGAGAGUACCCGCAGAAUAAGCAUCGGCUAACUCCGUGCCAGCAGCCGCGGUAAUACGGAGGAUGCGAGCGUUAUCCGGAUUUAUUGGGUUUAAAGGGUGCGUAGGCGGAUUUUUAAGUCAGCGGUAAAAUGUCCGGGCUCAACCCGGGCCGGCCGUUGAAACUGG
rnacentral:rRNA from 1 species